GUAUGCAGUAGCCACCGCGAUGCUGAUGCCCAAGAAGAACCGGAUUGCCAUUUAUGAACUCCUUUUUAAGGAGGGAGUGAUAGUGGCCAAAGAAGGAGUGCACAUGCCAAAGCACCCCAAGCUGGCGGACAAGAAUGUGCCUAAUCUUCACGUCAUGAAGGCCAUGCAGUCACUCAAGUCACGAGGCUACGUGAAGGAACAGUUUAUCUGGAGACAUUUCUGUUGGUACCUUACCAACGAGGGUAUCCAGUAUCUCCGUGAUUACCUCCACCUGCCCCCUGAGAUUGUGCCUGCCACCCUGCGCCGCAGCCGUCCUGAGACUGGCAGGCCAUGGCCCAAAGGUCUGGAGGGAGAGCGACCUGCGCGAGUCACACGAGGGGAAACCGACAGAGAAGCGCUGUGCCCCCUGGUGCUGACAAGAAAGCCAAAGCCAGAGCUGGGUCAGCAGUGGAGUUCCAAUUUAGAGGCGGCUUUGGUCGUGGACGUGUUCAUCCACCUCAGUAGAGUUGGAAGAGAUUGUUUUGUGUUGAAUAAACCUGUAGCCAG